CACGUAGGGCGCAAGCGUUGUCCGGAAUUAUUGGGCGUAAAGAGCUCGUAGGCGGUCUGUCGCGUCGGGAGUGAAAACUCAGGGCUUAACCCUGAGCUUGCAGUGGGUACGGGCAGACUAGAGUGCGGUAGGGGAGACUGGAAUUCCUGGUGUAGCGGUGAAAUGCGCAGAUAUCAGGAGGAACACCGGUGGCGAAGGCGGGUCUCUGGGCCGUAACUGACGCUGAGGAGCGAAAGCGUGGGGAGCGAACAGG
rnacentral:rRNA from 1 species